UUUGAGCUUUGUGGUAAAAUAUUUGUUUGUGUCAUGUGGUACUAGCUAGCUGCAGAAGACAAAGUUGUACAUACAUAUCGUCCAUGAUUUAUUUAUUGAUAUAAGUCCACAUUAUAAUGGAAAUAUAAUGAUUUGAAACAGUGUCGUGUGAACAGUAAUAAAUGUAAUUCGUUAUAGCAAAUUGUGUUCUGAAUUGUUAUCCAAAUUACAAAAGAAUAUCUUUGUACUGCAACUUUUGGAGCCCUGCUGCAGUUAUCUAUGACCUGGAACACAACUCUUUUCUUAUCAUCACCUCACUUUUUUUGAAUUUUUGAUAUGUAUUAUUAAAAGGAACCAACCCAUGGAUAAAAAGGAAUGGAGUCAUUUUAAUGUCAGAGGUAUAGAAGAAACAAGAGUUUUAUGCAUCCACAAAGAGUACUUUAACACAGACUGUUUUACAGUAUAGAUAAAGAAAAUAUUUCACAUUUUACACAACAUUCUCACAGAUAAAUGUGCGCAAAAAGAAUUCAUUCAUAAUUUUUUUGCAUUUAACUGCAGAUACUUGUAUAAUAUUAUAAAAUAUAUCUAGGCCCAUGAAUAGUUUCUAAUUAAAAUGGUAUUUCCAAAACUGUAGCAAUUUGACAAUUAUAUUUGCAUGAUCAAUAUAUAAUAUUCACAAAAUACCCAUAUAUUUCUCAUGUGGAAGUCACCAGUGCCAGUCAGAAUCUAUUAUGAAUAUUUUCCCCUGAUAAAUUCCAAUAUGCAUUACAGGUGCUUAUGUAAAGCAGAUCAUAUUUAUUCGUGUUUUGUAUUAAGUAAUUUCCUGUGAGAAAACAGUUUCUCUGGAAAUAUGAGUUAAUUCAAGUACUGCCUGAACAAUAAUAUUUUAUUGUUUAUAUACAACAAAAUUUGUUUCAAAAGAAUUAAUUUGUGAAAAUGUAGUCAACAGACUAUGCACAAUUUAACUGAGCUUUCUGUGUAGAAUUUUGUGCAAAAUUUUAGAAACAUAAAAUGUAACAUUAUAAAUUAUAAAUUUACUUAGAAGAAGAAAGCUUAAACAGGAAAACGUUUUUUUACAUUAAAAGCUACUACACCAGAAGGACUACUUAUCUUCAUAGAAUCUAACAGCAAAGGCAACUGACACCACAUCCAUUAACAUAUAUGUUAGCCACAACAUUAAGCUUCUUAUUAAUUAAUAUUCUAUCAGCUUCCAUUUGUUAAAUUUCAUUAUUUGUGCCAAUUUGAUUACAAACAUGCUAAAAAAAUAAUGUGCUCAGUGACGCAAUGUUACACUGAGGUGAGUACAUGCAACUUCUUUGGUUUAUUUUAGACAACUAAAAUUCUGCAGGCUGUAGCCUGUCUCACUGCAUUAGAAGUUGCACCAGUGGUCAGGUGUUUUCAAUAUAGUUUCAGUCGGCAUUUAAAGAAUUUGACAUCUUUUACAAUUUUUUACAGAAUAGGUAGGUAUGUUAUUCACAAGCUGGAGACAAUGAAAUGUCAAUCUUCAUAUGAGUAGAGUCUCUUAAAAUAUUUCUCAGUAGGAUAAAAACUACACAUGAAAUAAUGAAUAGUGGACCACAUUCAAUAUUUCUUGAUAAAUGCUGGUUGAGAGCGAAAUAUAGACUUAAGUAUGAAUGAUUAAUCUGUAGAAUGCCUUGAAAUACAAUCAUCAGGAAAUUGAACUAAUUUUAAAUUUUGAUAGGUAAUUAUUCACAUGACUACUUUCACUUAAAUAGAAUAUUUACAAAAAAUAAACAUAUAAGAUUAGGGUUUAAUGUUGCCCCAGUAACGUAGGUCAACAGACACAGAGUAGAAGCUUGAGUACAUGAAGGGUGGCAGAAGAAACCAUUAGUGUUCUUGUCAUUGAAACAACCCCAGAACCCUCCUUAACGGAUUUUUGAAAAAAAAAUGGAAUGCCUAAACCAGUAUGGGCAGAUGCAACCAUGAACUAUUAUCCUCCUGAAUGAGAAUUCCAUAAUCUAACCACUGUGCAACCUUCCUUGGUACAAUAUUUGCAUUCAACUUGUGAAAGGUAUUGUAUGUACUACAAAAAUUGCCCAAAGACUCAGCUAAUCCAUAGUUGAUGAAGAGAUACAAACUUACUAAUAAAAUCUGAAAAUAAAUAACUUUCCUACACUGAGCAGCAAGCACACUUGGUAUCUCUGAACUGACCUCAACAACUGUAAAAAUUAGAUUAGACAGUAUCAUUAUUUUCUCGCCAAAUACACAAAAUCAUUCACAUUGACACAUGAACACUAAAGAAGAUUAAAUUAACAUAAUAAAGAGACAAAUCCUGAGUAAUAUAUUCAUGGAACAUAACACAUUGGUUAUAAAUUUCAUUUCUUGUAAUAGUAUUGUUGUAAAUUACAAUUUCUCAUUAAUUUAUUUUAUGAAUGUAAGUAUUAUACACAAAGUAAUACAUGUCACACAAUCCUUUUAGGUAUUAGAAUAAUAACAGAUAUGAGUAGAAAGGCUGCUAGAAUGAGUACAUAAUUUAAUUUAAAUAUAUACCAAUGAAUGUUAAGUAGAAACUGCUAGACAGAAAACAGGAAUGUUACAGUUAAAUUAAUCCAUUCUUAUUCACAGGUUGCAUCUGAAGUUAAUGUAUGCAUUUUGCAAGAGUAUCAGAUAAAAAAGUUAACUAUCUUACAGGAUACAGUGUAUCAUGAUGCGAUCCAUUAACUAUUUAUAAUUUCUCGUAUAAUGUGAUUCUUGGUCCAUCAUUCACACAGUAGUGAGUUUCUCAUCAUAGGAUUUUCUCUGCCGAAAUCUGUAGGUAUUUUUGAACUUUCAAGCUUUCGUUUGAGCUCCAUAGAGUGGUAAGCCAUUCAUACAAGCACAAAAAAGUGAAAGAGGUUGACUUUGUCUUGAAAAUAGAAGAAAAUAUUCACAUGAAUGGAAGAGUAUUGAUGGCUUGUAAAAUAUUUUUGAAAUCGUUUUAUCCAAUAAUACAAUAAACUAAUUUGUUGAAUAUACUAUGACAAUACAUUUGAAUAUUAGAGUAAUUUCUCAGUACAAAUCAGAUAACAUAUUUCCCAGAAGUCCAAGUUAAAACAUUUACUUUUAGCUCCUGGCCUGUUUCAAAAUGAUUAGUAAUGUUAAGUUAGGAGAAUUAUACAUACAGAAGUGAGCCAAAGAUCUACACCAAAAUAAAGUAACGUAGGUCCUUGUCACGUUCAUAAGAAAUGUUUUUAAGUAAAUAGUAACAAAGGCUGAAUUCUUCUGUGCGUAAAGUUAUUGAAAUAAUCUGAAUAUCAGGGAGAAGAGGGAAACAACAUUAGGGUACUUCAUAUAAAACAUGUUGUUUCAAUGGUGAUGUACCAUAUAAUCAUUGCUGUCAGCAGAAGAAGGGUAUGAUGCACUAGUUUAUAGUGGUAACAUUUGGCUUUCAGUUAAUGAAACUUAAGGACGAAUUUCUGGCAGAAAAUACAGUAUGAGAUAAUAAAUAAUGAUGAUAGAAAGAAAAUAAAUUAUAAUAUUAUAGUGAGGAGAAAAAUCUUCAGUAGUAUUCUUACUCAUCAUAAAGCAUGUAAAAGAAAUUUAUCACUGUAGUACUGAACGGAGCUUGUUGAAGCUAUAUUGGCAAGAAAAGGAAAAUAAUAUAAUUAGUGAGAGGAGCUGUGUAGCAAUCAUUUGAAAGUCUUUGAAAAACAUGUAGAAUUCAUAGAAGAUUCUCUAAGACAGUGACUUGUGGUACUGCUUGGUAAGAUAUGAGAUCAUACUUUCCAGGACUGUGUGACAGAUAGCCACAGUAAUACAUCAAUUUCUCAAACUUAGGGCCCCAAGCAGCUCCUAAAAAUAAAAUAAAUGUAUGUUAUUCUCCAUUGACUAUAGAAAUUAUUUCUUUCACAUUUACAAUUUCGGCCUUUGAGGCAUUUUCAAAUGGUAGUGCAAAAGCUAAAAUACUACGAAAGUGAAGCACAGAAUGCAUAUACAGAACUGCACAAGCAUGUCAUAUAGACAGUAGAAAAUUACAAAAAUGGUGAAAAUAAUACAUCACUUACAUUUUGCUUCAGUACAUGUCAGACCUUACAAUACUCCAACAUGCAUACAUGUCAUCGCUAAAACUAAGCCUUUUCACUUUAGAUAUACAGAAACAUCAAACAAGUGAAAAGCUCUAGACAUUGUUAAAUGGUGUACAUUAUGUGAAAUGUUACCAGUGUUAACAUCUUUCAUAUAAAUCACUCAAAGUCAAUGUUCUAACACACUGUU